CGAUGGAGGGGGAUAACUACUGGAAACGGUAGCUAAUACCGCAUAACGUCUACGGACCAAAGUGGGGGACCUUCGGGCCUCACACCAUCGGAUGUGCCCAGAUGGGAUUAGCUGGUAGGUGGGGUAACGGCUCACCUAGGCGACGAUCCCUAGCUGGUCUGAGAGGAUGACCAGCCACACUGGAACUGAGACACGGUCCAGACUCCUACGGGAGGCAGCAGUGGGGAAUAUUGCACAAUGGGCGCAAGC
rnacentral:rRNA from 1 species